GCGAGGAAAAGUUGUCAGAGUACAUUUAACAGACAACAGCGUCAGCUCAUAUCAGUCCUCCACAGCACAACAGCAAAAAAGACAACAUGAGGUUCACUGUCUUGACUGUCGUCAUUUUCACUGCAGUCCUUAUCCAUGAGGGCAGCAGCAUGACCGGGAAGCCUUCAGCACCAUGUCAGGAGAGGAGCUCCGAAAGUCGAUAUGAUGAAUUUGUCCAAAGACACAUCCUUAGAGAGAGAUUUGACAGAAAUUCUCGAGAUGCUUGGAAAAGGUAUCUGAAAGAGCAUCACCUCUGGUGCAGAACUCCAGUGCAGUCCUUCAUCGAGAACGAUGUGCAGGAUGUCAACACGAUCUGCAGCAACGAUGGUCGACGCUUGACUGACACAGCUACCUAUGAAGGCAACUUGUGUAUCAGCAACUCAAACAUGUUGAUUUAUGAUGUCACAUUUAAAAGAACCAACAGCGGUUGCGACAUUAAUGUUGCUUCAGACCAGAGGCCUGUGAUUGUAGCAUGUAAUAAGGUUGGAAACCGCUGCCUCCCUGUUCAUUUUCAGAAAUAUGAACACCAAACCCCGAGCAAUAUACCCUGCAGUCGCGCAGGGCAUAUUAUGAUAGAAUAGCUUUCUGCAGUCAGGCUAAUUAUUCUGUGACAAACUUUGCUUGUUGCUAUAUCGAUGAUCAAAAUUUCAUGUGCAGCUAAAUUUGCAGUAAUGAGCUAUGAAGAUUAAUUACUAAAUCAACAACACUGGAGGAUGUUAGGCUGUAACUGCUAUAUUACAUGUUGCUUUAGUUUUCCAGGAUGUUAAUUGUGGUGUCCAGUUUAAAAAGGUCUCAAUGACUCAGUGCAAUAAAAAGUUAUUAUUGAUAUUUCUGCUGCCUACGAUCAAAUUGCCUGAUUUAACUGGAAACAGGAUUGAUGUUCAUGUGGUUAUGUGUAUAAAUGUGGACACUUGAGUUUACAGCUUUUUUGACUGCAUGGCCACUCCCACUUGUCUCUCUCUCACAAGCAAACUGAGGUUUCUUCUCUUUGUUCCUGUUUAUAAAAUGAAGAAGUGUAACUUUGUGCUAUCAGACUGAUCCAACUAAACAUUUAUAGUCAGUAUUUCCACAACCAGUUUGCUUUCAUUCUUACAGUUUUGAUUUUGCUUUGCUAAAAUAAAAUUAAAAAUAUGCAUGAAAUGUUUUUUUUAAGUUUCAGCCUUUGUCAUUUUGGUUAAAUAUGUCAGCACAACCAACAUGAAGAGGAGUUUGUACAUGUUUAAUGAGGCAGGGACAUCUACAUUACUGUGGGUCAUUUUCUGUCUCAAAGGGUUGUGUAAUGUUAUAGCUACUCCGACCUUCCUCUGAACUUCCUUGUUAAUGUUUGAGGCACAUGCUUUUCUCUUUAUAAAACACUUAGGAGCUCUU